rnacentral:rRNA from 1 species
AGAGCGAACGCUGGCGGCAGGCCUAACACAUGCAAGUCGAGCGCCCCGCAAGGGGAGCGGCAGACGGGAGAGUAACACGUGGGAACGUACCCUUCAGUUCGGAACAACCCAGGGAAACUUGGGCUAAUACCGAAUACGUCCGUAAGGAGAAAGAUUUAUCGCUGAAGGAUCGGCCCGCGUCUGAUUAGCUAGUUGGUGAGGUAACGGCUCACCAAGGCUACGAUCAGUAGCUGGCCUGAGAGGAUGAUCAGCCUCACUGGGACUGAGACACGGCCCAGACUCCUACGGGAGGCAGCAGUGGGGAAUAUUGGACAAUGGGCGCAAGCCUGAUCCAGCCAUGCCGCGUGGAUGAUGAAGGCCUUAGGGUUGUAAAGUCCUUUCGACGGGGAAGAUAAUGACGGUACCCGUAGAAGAAGCCCCGGCUAACUUCGUGCCAGCAGCCGC